rnacentral:lncRNA from 1 species
ACAGUUCUUGCGUUGCUGUGGGCCAUAUACUAUGUUCUGUCGGGAAUGUUUGGUUCGUCCGAUAAUCAUCAGCAGCAGAGAUCAAGGGAGUACGAGGAGCAGAUGGAGCCUCUGCCACCGCCUGUUCAGCUCGGCGAGAUUACCGAGGGGGAGCUCAAACAGUACGAUGGCUCCGAUUCCAAAAAGCCCCUUCUCAUGGCCAUCAAGAGCCAGAUCUACGAUGUCUCUCAGAGCAGGUAUAUUUUUGUGGUUUUUUUUUUUUUUUUGGCGUUUCCUUUUGUGGGUCAACGCUGAUUUUGGUGUUUGCUUUUGCAAGUUAAGUAAAGUUUAGCUUUUGAGAUUUUUCAGAAGUAAAAAAUUUUAGUUUUUCUUUUGAUGGGUGAUCAAGAUUAAUUUGCCUCAUCUGUUAUCAACCCAAGAAUUUGAUUAUAAUUUUAUUAAUCUUAUAGAUAUGUUUCGAACUGCUUAAUUUUGACCGUAUAGUGGCUGAAGUUAACGAAUUCGCACUUUUGCAGUACUUGUGGAUUAAAAGUCCAGUACCAUGCUUUGUAUCUUGUUCCACACAAUUCGACACAAGCGAGUUGCUUUUCUCGUACUGCAUCAUGUAGCUCAAAUAGGUCUUUCUAUGAAGAAGCCCGUCUGGCUUCAAACAUUUAAAGUGUGAUAUUCAAUCUAAUGAUCUAUCAACUUUUUGCAGGAUGUUUUAUGGACCUGGUGGGCCAUAUGCGUUGUUUGCUGGAAAGGAUGCUAGCAGGGCCCUUGCCAAGAUGUCUUUUGAGGAAAAAGAUUUAACUGGUGAUAUCUCUGGUCUUGGUCCAUUUGAGUUGGAGGCAUUGCAGGACUGGGAGUAUAAGUUCAUGAGCAAGUAUGUUAAGGUUGGGUCUAUCAAGUCGACGGUUCCAGUAACAGAUGGAGCCUCCUCUGGUGAAUCCACUGAGCCUAAAGGAGUUGUUGAUACACCUGCAGAAAGUAAAGGAGUUGUUGAUACACCUGCAGAAACCAAAGAAGUAGAUAUCGCUAAGCCUGCUGAAGAUGGUCCGUCAGAAACUGCAGCCGCUGGAUCUGAGGCAACCCCAUCUUCUGAUGAUAUUAAGAAGGAGUAAGCCGAACCCCAUCCGUUGAUGAUGCUGAGGAGUAGAAUUUAAUCAUAAGGCAAACCCCAUCUGUUUGGCUGCUUGUAUUUGUGAAUGUUUUCACAUAUUAGUAAGUUUACAUUGUUAGUCUAGGAAACUUCUAU